UCAUUCUCUUUGCUUGGCUCUGCAAUAAGCCUCUCUCUGCUUCAAAGUUUGGGUUUCUUUGGGUUUGUUUGGCCUUUCUGAACUGUUGCUCACAUUCAGUAACAAAAAUAACAGUGGAUAACUAUUAUCACCAUUUUCCCCUUCUUUCAGUACGAAAUAUUUUACUUGUGUCCUUCCUUUUGAAACCAAAACAUCCCAGCCAAAACCCAGAUUGGGGCUUGAAUCCAUGGCUUUUUAAUUAGAAUCACUCACCUGGUUUUCUAGACGUACCGCGGCUCAGGUUCUACGUGCCUCAGCACAAAAGGAAUUCAACGAGAGGCAAAGUGAUAGGCGAGAAAUAGAUUUAAGAUAGGACACUUGUGAGGGAGGCAAGCAGGCAGGUGAGAAGGCUCUGCCCUGAGGAGUAGGUGGGCUACGUUUUUAUAAUCCAAGGAGAGCAGCGAGAGGGAAAGGACUGCCUCUUCCUCUUUCUCCAAGGGAGUAGACGUCAUGCUUACAUCAUUAUCUCCUCCUUCAUAAUUGAUGAAUUUUGAAUUCCUCCCCCCAUGGUGAUCAGUUUCAGCCUUUAGAAAACAUCUCUCUUCCCACGCCUUUUCCACACCCUGAUUCUUCAUCUGUAGCAGGCACCUGUCAACCAAGAGAAGAAAUGUUAUCUCCUUCUGAGAUGCUGAAUAUCACAGCAAAGCAACUCCAAAAGUCAUAUAUCCCAAAGUUUGGCCACAGAGAGAGGAUACAGGAAUCAUGACAAUGCGAAUGAGACAUCUAUUGAUCAGAGAUUAA